CAGCCGCCACGGUAAUACGUAGGUGGCGAGCGUUGUCCGGAUUUAUUGGGCGUAAAGGGAGUGUAGGCGGUCUUUUAAGUCUGAUGUGAAAGCCCACGGCUCAACCGUGGAGGGUCAUUGGAAACUGGGAGACUUGAGUGCAGAAGAGGAGAGCGGAAUUCCAUGUGUAGCGGUGAAAUGCGUAGAUAUAUGGAGGAACACCAGUGGCGAAGGCGGCUCUCUGGUCUGUAACUGACGCUGAGGCUCGAAAGCGUGGGGAGCAAACAGGAUUAGAUACCCCAGUAGUCCCUGUCCUUAUACC
rnacentral:rRNA from 1 species